rnacentral:lncRNA from 1 species
UGGGUUUCAUGGCUUGGGAAAUUCAAGGCUGGUUCUGUGGUUUUCUGUGCAUAUGGAAGUGAAGGUCCAUUGCAGCAAAAUCAGUUCCAAGAGUUGUUGCUUGGACUUGAGCUAUCAGGUUUUCCAUUUCUUGCAGCACUUAAGCCACCUACUGGAUUUGAAUCUAUUGAAGAAGCUCUUCCUGAAGGCUUCUUAGAAAGGGUUCAUGGAAGAGGGAUUGCAUAUGGAGGUUGGAUUCAGCAGCAACUGAUUUUAGAGCACCCUUCUGUUGGUUGCUUCAUAACACACUGUGGAGGAGCACUUAAGCCACCUACUGGAUUUGAAUCUAUUGAAGAAGCUCUUCCUGAAGGCUUCUUAGAAAGGGUUCAUGGAAGAGGGAUUGCAUAUGGAGGUUGGAUUCAGCAGCAACUGAUUUUAGAGCACCCUUCUGUUGGUUGCUUCAUAACACACUGUGGAGGAGCUUCUAUAACUGAGGCACUUGUCAACACCUGUCAAAUGGUGCUGCUGCCGCGACUUGGUUCUGAUCAUGUCACGAACGCACGGGUGAUGAGUGCGAAGUUAAGGGUUGGGGUUGAAGUGGAGAAAGGUGAAGAAGACGGCUUGUUCACAAAAGAAAGUGUGUGCAAAGCUGUGAAAACUGUGAUGGAUGAUGAGAGUGAGCUCGGAAAAGAAGUGAGAGCAAAUCAUACCAAAUUGAGGAACUUGUUACUGAGCGAAAACUUAGAGUCCUCAUGUGUUGAUACUUUCUGUCAAAGGCUUCAAAAAUUGUUGUAAAUUCUACCAAGAGUACACAUGUGAGUUAAUGUGUUAAAGUUUUAGUUUUCCAUUAGUGUGUUUGGAUGCGUGUUUUCUUAUUUGCGUUAAUGUAAACUGCACAAGGGUUUGUGCGUUUGCAAACUCUUGUGCGUUCCGCUGCAUCAAGUGGUAUCAGAGCAACACCAGAGAAGAAGAGAAAACUCUUGAAUUUUAUUAUCAAUUAAAAACUCAAUAGGCUAUUGCCUUACAAGUGCUUAAAUAGGAAAAGAAAAUAUCCUAAUAGAAAAAUAAAUAAUAUCCUAAAAGAUCCUAAUUGAAAAUAAAAGAUCCUAAUUGCAAAUAAAUAAGUUCCUAACCAAAAAUAAAUAUGAUCCUAAAAGAUUCUAAUUGAAACAAAAUAGAUUCGGAAUAGAUCCUAAAUAUAUUUAAAAAUACUAAAAAUAAUAAAUUCCUAAUUAAUCUGCUCCUGCAUCAAUUCCUCUGAUAUUUAGCCUUGUUUGGUUCCUCACCUAUAAAUAUGUUAGAGGUGAUUGUAAUGUAAAUCUUUUUAAUAUUGGUGAAGAAAGAAGAGUUAAGAAAAACAUUUUGGAGAAGUCUCACAUUUUUGUUAUAUAUAAAAAUCUCGGAAGUUUGUUAGUACAAAAUACCAAAUACCAAUAUCGGGAAAACACACCAAAUAUCAAUACCCUAAAUUAGUUCAAGUGGUAAAAAUUAGUAGGCAUAAGACUUGGGAUAAUGAAGGAUGAAGGCUCAAGGAUUCAAACCUUGAUAAAUGAACUAAUUUACUAAUAAGUAACAACUAGCAUUUACCUAUAAAAUACUCUUAUUUUAAAAUAUUAUGAAACGUAAUUUAAAUAUUGGAUGUCGAGAGUGCGAGUGUAUUGAUGAGAUCGUAAUGGAAUAAUGUUAUCUUCACACCUCAAAAAUGAGGUGUGGAGAGGUGGAGGAAGAGAGAUAUAGGAAGAAAGGAGAGAGAAAGUAAAGAUGUGAUAAAUGAUUUGAUUGAUAAAGAAAAGAGAAAUAGAUUAAAAUGAAGGUAGAAAAGAAGUGAAGAGGUGUGUAUAUAUCAUAACUCAAUCGUUUAGACGAAAUUUAAAUAUUUGAUUUGACAUCACAGACAAAAUCUCGUCUAUUAUGGCAAAUGUUGCACUGUUCUAUUUUGUUUACCAAUGGGUAAUAUCUAGUUGUUCAUUAAAUCAUUCUAUCACUUUCUUAGUUUCUUAGUUCUUUUGCCUAACCGAGUAACCGUUACCACGCCAAUAUAAGGGCAAUAGAUAACUUUGAUACUACAAGUAACAAUUGUAACAGUUGAAAGAGUUUUCUCCACUAUGAAUAUUAUCGAGAAUUGGAUGCAAAAUUAUAUGAGAGAUGAAUGAUUAAAUGGUUGUUUAAUUACUUAUGUAGAAAGAGAUAUAUUUGAUAGUGUUGAGAAUGAAAAAAUUGUGUAAAAAGAAACAAUUAACAGUAAAUGACGCAUCACUUAAUCGUAAACAUAUGAACAAUAUGUUUACGAUUCAUACACAUUUCCACAUCUUUUUUACCUUAAUGUUUUUUUUAUUUCUUUUUUCUCUAUCAAUCAAAUCGUCUAUCACACCUUUACAUUUUCUCUCAUUUAUUUCUAUCUCUUUAAUCCUCUGCCUCCUUUUCACACCGGUGUAGAUAAAAGAUUAUUCCUAAAUUUAUCACCAGAGUACCCGGCAAAUAUGAACGUAGGUAAAAACACAAAAUCUGCACAGUUCAGCUAAUUAUAUAUGACACCACCCCAUAUAAGUUCCUUGCGAAGCAGAGCUCCUGACAAAACAGAGCAGGGCAAGACUCCAAGGAGGCACAAAACCAGAGAAAAGAAGCAGCCCAAAAAACAGAAGUUAAAAUUGCACUUAACUCCACCAUCUCUACAACGUUUUAAGGCAACAAGCAAUUAUAAAUUGAUUUGAUGCUAACAUUUUGCUUCAGAGACUAGUUUAAUAAUGAAAGAAUUGAAUUGCUUGUAGAAAAAAAAAAGAUAAAUCUUAAAAUUAAACUUCAUGAAAAAUAGGAAUCUUUAGUGGCAGAUUAGACAUGGCAAUCACUAUGCUAUAAUUAAUCACGGGACGACUCACCAAUAACAAUUCACCUCUCGGGUAUUAAAUUCGAGUCAUAAUUUCAUAAAUCUAAUUAGCGGGCUUCAUUAUCUUAUAUCAUUAUCUCAUACUUAUUCACUAAAUGAAAAAAGGAAAUUGAUGGACACUCCUUUUGGUUGGCAGUUGGCACUUAGCAACACAUGGGAUUUGUGGUUGUUUUUUCGCCACAAAAUGCAGAGGUUGAGAAAAAUAUCAAACAUGUUUCAAAGCGGCUUGAAACCAUCACAAACAAACUGUGCAUCUAGAAAGUGCACGUACAGUUUGUGGGGCUUUUGAUACUUGAUAGGCCCCAAUCAAAUUUAAUAUUUCUUUUAAACUCUGUACCUUGUAGUAGUCAUAAACCCCACAACAAAUAGCAGGUGUCACUAAAUGUCCAUAAAAAAUGGUGAAAUAUUGAAGGGGCUUAAAUACCUUUUUGGUCCCUAAAAUUGUAAAGGGAAUCAAACCUGAUCCUUGUAAAAUAUUUGCAUCAAAUUGAGUCCCUAACUUAUUUUUUUUAAUCUAAUUUCGUUCAAAGUGUGUCUAGGUCUGAUGUGGCUUGUUUUUAAUCCCACUCAGCUAUUCCACUUGACUAUUUCAUUUUUUUUAAUAUAAUUAAUUUCAAUUCUUUUUUUUAAUUUCAACUCAUAACAUUAAAAAAAACUAAUCUUGUAACGAAAAAAAAAAACCGAAUCUAAUCUAAAAGACCUAACCUAAUCUGAAAAAAACCUCACCACUUAAACAUACUCAUUCAUCUUCAAAUCCAGAAAUUUAAAAACCCAGAAAUUUAUCUUCCUCUUCAUCCUCAUUCAUCUUCAAAAAUCACUAACAAACCAAAACAUCAAACUAAAUUAAAAUUCCUAAAUAACCCCAAACCCCUUAAAUUAAAACCCCUCAAUAACCUUCCUCUUUCCCCUGCCACAAAAUCCUACCCACUGAUUCUCUUCUCAAACCAGCAACGCCACCCUUGCCUCACCCACAUACCGAUAUAUGAAAUCCAGACAAUAGCAUGGUGGUAUGGUUUUUUGUUUGGAUAAGCCAUGACAAUAUAUGAUAAAACGACACAAGUUAUGCCAAAUAAAGUUUACAAGCAGGAAUCAAAAUCAAACAAUUUAGCCCAGGCACACAAUCAUUUCUACCCCUUACAACGUUGAACCACCCACCACGAGAAGCUCCCCCUGUCAACCCAUCGAUUGCAGAAAGGGAAGAUGAGAAGGAGGUUGUGUGGGAUGAAUAGAGAUGAGAAAUUAGGUUUUUAAUUCGGGUUUAAUUUUAAUUUGUUAAAAUCAUUUACACGUCUGCAUUAAAAAUAAAAAAUAAAUCCAAGUGGAAAUACUAAUUGGGUAAAAUUUGUGCCACAUCAUGCUGAAACACACUUUGAACCCAAUUAGAUUAAAAAAACAAUUUUGGGGACCCAAUUUGAUGCGAAAAUUUUACAAGGAUCAGAUUUGAUUCCCUUUACAAUUUCAGGGACCAAUAAAGUAUUUAAGCCUAUUGAAUGCGAUUAAAAGAAGAACAAAUACAAACACAAGAAUCCGCCAAACCCUCCGGUAGAAAAUUAAAUAUUUAGACCUCCACUUCACGCUGUUGAAUAAACUAUGUAGACAAAGAAAGUCAAAAUGUAAAUAUAAGAAUGGAAUCAUGGUUUUCAUUUCUAGAAAGUAACCACUAAUGAUGGUGAGUUCAAUUGAAAUUGGAAAGCAUAGGAUAUAUUGUAUACUUUGGUAUAUGCUUAUUGCUUGAGCUGAUUAAUUCAGGUAAGCCAACCUUACUAGCUCCAAGGAGAUUAAAAACGUUUGCUUUUUAUUUGUCUUACUGUUAGGAAGAGAUAAAAAUACAUAUACUUCAUUUGAUUCAAUAUCUCAACCUGCAGCAUGGAUUCACCUUCUUUGCACAUAGCAAUGUUCCCAUGGUUUGCUAUGGGGCACCUGACCCCUUAUCUCCACCUCUCUAACAAAUUAGCAAAAAGAGGACACAAAAUCUCCUUCUUCAUCCCCAAAAGAACACAAGCAAAGUUACAACAUCUCAACCUUCACCCAAAUCUUAUUACCUUUAUCCCCAUCACUGUUCCUCAUGCUGAUGGCCUUCCUCAUAAUGCUGAAACCACUUCAGAAGUUCCCUUCUCCUUAUUCUCAAAUCUUGCCACAGCUUUGGAUCACACAGAGAAGGACAUUGAACCUCUGCUGAGGGUGCUAAACCCACAAAUUGUUUUCUUUGAUUUUCAACACUGGCUACCAAACAUGGCAAGGAGCCUUGGCAUCAAGAGUGUCCAGUACUUCAUAGUUAAUCCAGUAACAUCAGCAUCAAGAGUGUUCAAUACUUCCCUUGGGAGACAGAGCCAAGGAACAGAGUUCCCUGGUUCAUCCUUUAAGUUUUAUAAACAUGAACUUCGAUUCCUAGCUGGCACGAGGGAACUGGUGUUUGGAAGUGGUAUUUUGUUUCAUGAUCGCUUAGGCACGGGUACAAGCUUGUCAGAUGCAAUUGGGUUCAAAGGUUGCAGAGAACUUGAUGGACCAUAUGCAGAGUAUCUUGAAAAUGUAUAUAAGAAGCCUGUUCUGCUUUCAGGCCCUCUUUUACCAGAGCCAUCAAACUCUACUUUGGAGGAAAAAUGGGUUUCAUGGCUUGAGAAAUUCAAUUCUGGUUCUGUGGUUUUCUGUGCAUAUGGAAGUGAAGGUCCAUUACAGCAGAAUCAGUUUCAGGAAUUGUUGCUUGGUCUUGAGUUAACAGGUUUUCCAUUUCUUGCAGCACUUAAGCCCCCUACUGGAUUUGAGUCUAUUGAAGAAGCUCUUCCUGAAGGAUUCAAAGAAAGGGUUCAGGGUUUAGGACACCCUUCUGUUGGUUGCUUCAUAACACACUGUGGUGCAGCUUCUAUCACUGAGGCACUUGUCAGCACCUGUCAAAUGGUG